GCCUGGGUAGCUCAGUGGUGUAGCGCCUGCCUUUGGCCCAGGGCAGGAUCCUAAAGACCUGGGAUCGAGUCCCACAUCAGGCU
rnacentral:tRNA from 1 species